ACUACUUAAAGUUAAGCCCCAUGGCUACUAUUCAUAAGAAACCUCAAAUCCUGGCCAUUUAUUUCGAGAUUUAAUCUGACGGUUGUUUGCAAGCCUGACUUAUCACACAUCAAGGAUUAGGUUAUCCUUUCUUAUUUCUUCCACAGCUCAUAGCCGACAUCGACAUAUGAGGCGGAGGAGUAGUAGUUGUCAGUAAAUCAUGUAUUUCUUUGUAGAUUAUCGUCACCCUAUAUAGAGGUAGGAUUGAAUGUCAUGGAGAAUAGGCAUGGAGGGUGGAGAAAGCAAGGGGAAGGAGAAUUUUGAUGAUGGAAGGUACUAAAAUUUGUCACCGUCGAUAGGUUUUUUUCAGGUUCAGAGGGACUAGAGUUGAUGGUAGAAGGAAAAGGACUAAUUUUUCCUUGUGAAUUGUUUGGUGAGCCAGGUCAGAAGAUGGGAUUGAUCAUGAACUUUGUAUUAUAGUUCCCGAUUUUGUGAGGAAGAGUGUAAAAGAUGGAAGAUGUUGAUUGAGAAAGAGUGUUGUCAGGUGAGAAUCAGAGAUGGUGAUGCAAUCUUUGUUUAUUGAUUUCUUUGAUGUCAUUGUUUCAUCACGUUAGGUUAGUAGGGGAUUGCAAGUGUUCAAUUUUCCCCUCAUACCUCUAUAAAUACUCCUAAUCUGUGGUAUUUUCCCCUCAUACUUCUUCUCAAUUUUCACUUUGCUCAGUUGUCUUCUGCUUUGUAUUCGAUGAUGUCUUUUGUUGCUGGUGCUUUGAAUUUGUUCUGAUUUGGAGGUUGUGGAAAAGUUUAUUUCUGACUUAGCAGGAACUAUAUCAUUGAAGAGCUUAGAUGAUGAUUCAAAGCUGUCUGAAAAUUUUGUUGAUGAUGGAGAAAGCAACCAUGAUUCUGGUGGUCCAAAGAAUGUGAAAAGGAAGUUAAUGGUUCUAUCUGAAGAUAAGUGAGUGAAGAUGUUCAAUUGAAGUUAAGGCAGAAGCAAACUCAAGUGAUGGAAAAGUUUGAAGAAGGUUCUGUUGUGAUUCCCAUUGCUAAAGAUAGCAUGUUAGAUGAAAUUCAGCGUCUAAAAGCUCUUAAAAUCUCUGAUGAUCUGUCUAUUGGUGAGGAAUCUAUGUUGUCUGAGAUUAAUCGCCUCAAAGCAUUUAAAACUUGUGAUGAACUGCCUGGUAUGGCUGUGUGUGAAGAGAAGACUGAAGGUUUGCCAACUGAUUAAAUUCAGUUUUGAAAGAAAGAUGAAGAUUUCGUGAAGUUCAGUUGUUGAUGUGCAUGUGUUUUAAGUGGAAACUGUUGGUGUUAGAGCUCAAUGGAGACAUCCUUAAAUUGUAUUUUGUUUGGGACUUACUAUUAUCUUUGUGGACUACCUAUUUGUAUAACAAAGGUGUCAGUGUGUUUAAUCCAGUUUUUAGAAUGUGUAAUGUGUGAUAUUUUGUAUUUCACUUCUAUCAUUGCCAGGAUUUUGCUACAAGUGAUUCAUAUCAGGCAGAUUGUAAUAUUUUGUGAACAAGGUUGUUUAGUUGUACUGUGUUGUUUCUGCACUAUUAUUAUAUAUAAGUGGUUGUUAUAUGAA